GGAAAGCGAGAGUGUACUUUGGGUGAUUUAAGGAAGAUGUAAUAAAGGGAUUACCUCCAACAGUGUGGGCAGAGGGUAGGGCGCCACUAGCCUGGGUGUACUUCCUGGAUGACAGGGAUGGGGGGUGGGGGGAGCAGCUACCAGAACCCGGAGAGAGGCCUGUGUGGGCACCUUCUGCCAAGAGCUGAGGCCUUAGGUCAUUGAGGUGCCAGGUCACACACAGCAACCCUGCAGGGAAGGAGCCAGCUGGGAAAUUAAUAGCCUGACCCCAGCCUCCUCCCUCCAAACUUCCGGUGUCCUGCCCAUUCUCUGCCCAAUGGAAGCUGGAAGCCAGAGGGCCAGCCUCCCAGGGCACAGCGCAGGGUGAAGGUGGGAGUGAGUGGAUCUGGAGGAGCAAAUGAGAGGACCUAGGUGCUGAAGGGGUCACGUUUUGUUUAUUUUUGAGAGAGUGCACGCGUGAGCGUGGGACAGAGAGGUGGAGAUCUGAAGCGGACUCUAGGCCGACAGCAGUGGGCCCGAUGCCGGGCUCGAACCCACGAACCAGACCGCGAGACCAUGACCCGAGCCUGAGUCCAACACUCCACAGACUGAGCCGCCCAGGCGCCUCAGGGAUGGCUAUUUUAGAAAAGGUGAGGGAGGAAAGCUGUCUCUGAGCAGGGCCCUGAAUGCAUCCAUGAGGCCAGCCACCCAUGGAAAAGCAUUCCAGGGAGAGGGAAAGGCAAGCAAGCAUGCAGGCUCUGAGGCAGGAGUGUCCGUGCCCCCGGGCAGUGAGAGGCUGUGUGCCUGCAGAAGGAAGAGAGGCUGGGGAAGAGCAGGGGUCACCUGGCACAUAGCCUCCCAAGCCUGAGGAAGGGCUUUGGGUGUUAUUCAGAGACAGGUAAAGAGGGAGCGUCAGGCUCAUUCUGGCCGCUGGAGGGGCAUGAGACUACUUGUCUUUAGUUAUGUUUGCAAAGUUUGGCAUGGAGCAUACAUGAUUCAACUGGAGGGACAGCCAGUGCCCCCCAAAACUGGAGGCCACGAGAGAGCCAACAAGGCUGAGUGUGACCUCUCCCUGCCGUCAGUCCUGGACUGAGGGGAGAGGGAGGAAACACACAGUAAACUCCCUUCCCCCAGGCGCUCACGCUGUAGUCAGGGAGACAAAGAAACACGAGAACCUGUUUAACUCAAGAUGGGGGAACCGUCAGGAGAGGGAUAGACUUGAGGGCUGAAGACUGCCUGUGUGGGAUGGGUUGGCAAGUAAAGCUUCUGGAAGAGGCUCAUACUGAAACAGGUUCUUAAUUCUCUGAACGUCAGCUCACAUUGCGGGUGGAGGGGGCAGCCGGCCCGAGGGAAUGAUUUCCCAUGGACAUUCUCGCUUCUGGAGACACGUUCAAGGUAUUUUUCCUCCUCCUGGAGCGAGUGGCUUAGCCUCAACUCCAUUUUAUUACUAGCUUUUCCUUCUUUCCGAAACAAGUUGUUUUAUUUAAUUUUGAAUAGAUAAUAUAUGUACACAGUAUAAAAUUUAAAAGACAGGAAAAAGAUCUAAGUGAUGACUAAGCAUCUCCUUCUUUCCCUGUUUCCCAGGCUCCCAGUUCUCUUCCCUGGAGGCUACCAGUAUGUUAGUAUCAAUAUUAUCUUACCUAUUCUUCCAGAAAUAGUCUGUGUUUCAAAUGCAAAUGCUUGUAUAUACUCGCUCCUCUUUUUACCCAGUGGCGGAUACUAUACAAACUAUCCAUGCUUUCUCCCGCACUUCUCAGUGUAUCAUUUGGCAAUGGUUCCAUGUCAGUAAUAAAAAGUUUCUUUGUUCUGUU